AGAGUUUGAUCCUGGCUCAGGAUGAACGUUGGCGGCGUGCCUAAUACAUGCAAGUCGAACGAGGACCCUGGUAUUCGUAUCGGGAUCUCCUAGUGGCGAACGGGUGAGUAACGCGUUGGUGAUCUGCCCCGAAGUGUGGAAUAACAGCCCGAAAGGGUUGCUAAUACCGCAUGAUGUCAUAAGUUUUAGAAACUUAUGUCUAAAGAAGCAAUUCGCUUUGGGAGGGGCCUGCGUCCCAUCAGCUAGUUGGUAGGGUAAUGGCCUACCAAGGCAAAGACGGGUAGGGGACCUGAGAGGGUGGCCCCCCACACUGGAACUGAAACACGGUCCAGACACCUACGGGUGGCAGCAGUAGGGAAUAUUGCCCAAUGGACGAAAGUCUGAGGCAGCAACGCCGCGUGAGCGAUGAAGGCCUUCGGGUUGUAAAGCUCUUUUACGUGGGAAGAGAAAGGACGGUACCACGUGAAUAAGGAUCGGCUAACUACGUGCCAGCAGCCGCGGUAACACGUAGGAUUCGAACGUUAUCCGGAUUUAUUGGGCGUAAAGCGCGUGUAGGCGGUUUGGUAAGUUGGAUAUGAAAGCUCCAGGCUCAACCUGGAGAGGCCAUUCAAAACUGCCAGACUAGAGGACGGUAGAGGGAGGUGGAAUUCCGGGUGUAGUGGUGAAAUGCGUAGAGAUCCGGAGGAACACCAGUGGCGAAGGCGGCGCUCUGGGCUGAACCUGACGCUAAGACACGAAAGCUAGGGUAGCGAACGGGAUUAGAAACCCCGGUAGUCCUAGCCGUAAACGAUGUAGACUUGGUGUUGGUGGGGUAAAAGCCAUCAGUGUCGCAGCAAACGCGAUAAGUCUGCCGCCUGGGGACUACGGUCGCAAGGCUAAAACUCAAAGGAAUUGACGGGGGCCCGCACAAGCAGCGGAGCGUGUGGUUUAAUUCGAGGCUACGCGAAGAACCUUACCUGGGCUUGACAUAUUGGUGGUAGGGAGCCGAAAGGUGACCGACCCUUCGGGGAGCCAUUACAGGUGAUGCAUGGCUGUCGUCAGCUCGUGCCGUGAGGUGUCCGGUUAAGUCCGGUAACGAGCGCAACCCUCGCUGUAUGUUAUACGUGUCAUACGGGACUGCCGGUAUAAAGCCGGAGGAAGGCGAGGACGACGUCAAGUCAGCAUGUCCUUUAUGUCCAGGGCUACACACACGCUACAAUGGUCGAUACAAUAGGUUGCAAAACCGCGAGGUGGAGCCAAUCCUCAAAAUCGGCCUCAGUUCGGAUUGUAGGCUGCAACUCGCCUGCAUGAAGCUGGAGUUGCUAGUAAAUGCGCGUCAGCUACAGUGCAUUGAAUACGUUCCCGGGAAUUGUACACACCGCCCGUCACGUCAUGGGAGUUGGUUUUACCCGAAGACGGUGCGCUAACCGCAAGGAGGCAGCCGGCCACGGUAAGGUCAGCGACUGGGGUGAAGUCGUAACAAGGUAGCCGUAGGGGAACCUGCGGCUGGAUCACCUCCUU
rnacentral:rRNA from 1 species